rnacentral:rRNA from 1 species
UACGUAGGGGGCGAGCGUUGUCCGGAAUCAUUGGGCGUAAAGCGCGUGUAGGCGGCUUGCCAAGUCCGGUGUGAAAUCUCGGGGCUCAACCCCGAAACUGCAUUGGAAACUGGCUUGCUAGAGUCCGGAAGAGGAGAGUGGAAUUCCUGGUGUAGCGGUGAAAUGCGCAGAUAUCAGGAAGAACACCGGUGGCGAAGGCGGCUCUCUGGGACGGUACUGACGCUGAGACGCGAAAGCGUGGGUAGCGAACAGGAUUAGAAACCCCUGUAGUCC